UACGGAGGGUGCAAGCGUUAAUCGGAAUUACUGGGCGUAAAGCGCGCGUAGGUGGCUUGAUAAGCCGGUUGUGAAAGCCCCGGGCUCAACCUGGGAACGGCAUCCGGAACUGUCAAGCUAGAGGGCAGGAGAGGAAGGUAGAAUUCUCGGUGUAGCGGUGAAAUGCGUAGAGAUCGGGAGGAAUACCAGUGGCGAAGGCGUCCUUCUGGACUGACACUGAAACUGAGGUGCGGAAGCGUGAGUAGCAAACAGG
rnacentral:misc_RNA from 1 species